UGACUCCGUUAGGCAAUCGCGCGGUAUCAUGCCGAAAGGUCUUACCGUGAGGAAAGUCCGGGCUUCCGGGGAAAGGAUAACGGAUAACGUCCGCCGGUGGCGACACCCGGGAAAGUGCAACAGAAAUAGACAGCCGCAGCUUUUUGCGGUGAUGAUGGAAAGGCGAGGUAAGAGCUCACCCAUUCGUAUGGCAACAUACGUCUGCUGUAAACCCUAUCCGAAGCAACCCCUGAACGGUUCACCCCCGUAUGCGGCAGCAAUGCCGCAGCCGUUCUGGCGGCGCACGUGUGGAGAGAUUCACCGUGGAGUGUCAUGGCAACAUGGCAUAGAGAUAGAUGAUUGCCCACGACAGAACCCGGCUUACAGACAGUGUCAUUUG
rnacentral:RNase_P_RNA from 1 species